rnacentral:rRNA from 1 species
CACGUAGGGUGCAAGCGUUGUCCGGAAUCAUUGGGCGUAAAGAGCUCGUAGGUGGCUCAGUAAGUCGGGUGUGAAAUUCUCAGGCUCAACCUGGGAACGCCACCCGAUACUGCUGUGGCUAGAGUCCAGUAGGGGAGUGUGGAAUUCCCGGUGUAGCGGUGAAAUGCGCAGAUAUCGGGAGGAACACCAGCGGCGAAGGCGGCACUCUGGGCUGGUACUGACACUGAGGAGCGAAAGCGUGGGUAGCGAACAGGAUUAGAUACCCUAGUAGU